UCCUGCUCGUGGGGACGGGCUGAGCAUGUGCAGAGUGGUGCUGGUGCUCCUGCUCACUGAGCACACUGUGCCAGGCCCCUUGUGGGAAUUCUCUCAUGAAUCCUUGUAACUCUGCGAAAAAGGUAUUGUUACUACGGCCAUUUUACAGAGAAGGGAGCUGAGGCACAGAGAGGUUAAGAACAUGCCCAAAGUGACACAGCCUGCAAGCAGCAGAGCUGGGAUUUUGAUCCAGGUCCAUGUACUUUGGAGCCGGUGUGUUGUGUCCAUGGAUGUGCGAGACUCCUCCCCAGGAACCCAGGACCCAGCCGAGGCCUCCUCCAGGGAAAACAUGGAUGGCAUAAAAAGGUAACUGAGGGAGACCUUGUGAGAGGAAACAAUGACCGCGUCCUGACCGGCUCUGUGGUGCUGAGCUCCUGCAGGUAGCGUCUACGUGCGGGGCAGGUUUGUAGGAAUCAUGAGUGGACGAGGCAGGGAGGAGCUCAGAAGGAGGACAGGAACUGGGCUGGAAGCCUCGAGCAGGAGGAGCGCUGCUGCAUCCACACUGGCCACGCUCUGGCCGACCCCCCACGUCCGUGCCCGCAGCACAGCGCCUCGUGCCCUGUCCUGACGUCGCUAGGAAGUGGGUGAGGGUGCAGGAUAAAGAGAUGACGCUUGGCAGCAAGAGAACUCCUUGGUGAUUUGAGGCUUGGGGUGGACAGCAAGGAGAGGCUGCAAAGUCUUAUUCCUUAGGGAAGAGGCCAGGCCGGAUGAUUGCUCUCUGGGUUAAGAGUUACUAAGGGCCACCCCAGGAAGAGGAAUGAGGGGAGGGGCAGAAAGAGCGGGUAGUAGAGGGAAAAGGGGGAGAGAAAGGCAGAAAGAGAGAGACGAAGGGAGAGAGGGAGGGAGGGAGAGGAGAAAACGUCGACGGGUACGAAGGCAGUGGCCCAGCGGCAUCUGUGACCCCGUCCGAGCUGCGCCCUGCCCCAUCCAUCCCGGCUGAGGAGAGUUGGUACACUCUUACCGGAGCAGCCCACAGAGUUGGAGCAGGAACCAGGGCUCCCAGUGCCCAAAGCUGCCCUUUGAGUUGGUGGAGGGUGGGGGGUCCAGAGGAGGGCCUGGGGGAUGGUGGGGGGCACAUGGGGGAGGUGGGGCACAGUGCCGUUUGGCUAACUCAUGCCUACUGGCUCCUGUCAGUCAUGCUUGUGGGUGACCAGAUGCAAAGGUGUGGCCAGCACGCAGGUGAGGUGGCGCCUCCUAUGCCCGCCACCCACAGCUCCCCGGAAGGCAGGUGGUGGGCUGCUCAGCUCCGCAGAGCUGGGUUCCAACUCUGACAAUCCCCUUACUCUCUGUGUGGCCAGGCAGUGACCCGACCCCAGAGCCUCAUCUGUAAAUGGAUGACAGACCCAUCUCGGGCACCAUGCAUGGAGGGGGCUGCUCCCUCCUCGCUUUGCUCCUGGCCAAAGCCCCCGGGUGCCUGUGGGGGCCGUCGAUGCCCUUCCCUACUCCUCCCACAGCACCCUCCUUGGGGGCCUGGCGUCUCCUGUUGGCCUCUCUGAGGCUUUAAAAACAGGUCAGUGGCUUCCCAUCUCAGAGUGAAAUAGAGUCCCUCCCACGCCCCACAAGACCCUACAUGAGUGGUUCUCAACCCUGGCCACACAGUAGGGUCAUCUGAGGAGCUUUUAAAACACUACAGAUGGCUGGUCCCACAGCCAGAAAGUCUGAGUGAAUCCAUCCGAGCUGGAGCAGAGCAUCAGUUCCUCCUAAAUGCUGGCCGUGCAGAGCUAGUGAGAGCCGGCCGGCACGGCGCUCCAGCCCACUGCCUCCUUGCUCAUCCUCAAGCAGGCUCCCUUCAGGGCCUUUGCUGGAAUAGUGCCCCUGGGGUCCACAUGGCUCCCCCUUACAAGGUCUCAUUCGAGGCCCUGACAGCUGGAUGUCAGCCUGCCCCGUGCCAUGGCAUCACAUCCGCACCUCCCCCCAACCCUGGCAUACUCUGCCUGACUCCGCUUCAUCGCACUUGACCCCUGAUGUGCCGUGGGUUCAUCUGCGUGAGGUCUUUCUAAGCUCUGUGAGUAGGACGUGGCGGUCUUGUUCAACGGCCCGUCCACCGUGCCCUGCACAUGCCUGGCACACAGUGGGUGCCCAGCAAGAAUCUGCGGAAGGAAAGGCCAUCUCACCUGGCAGGUGAGAGCUCUGGGAAGGCGAGGGCAGAGAGGCACGCAUCUGGGCAUCCUGGCGCCCAGCACAGGGCCAGGUUGUGGCCAAUUUGUGGUGCCGAUGGUUUGCUCUGGAGACAGCGGGACUCAAGGGUGCUGUGGAGUGUCAGCACGGGAAGCAGGAGAGAGAACAAAGGUGGAGGCGGAAAGAUGGGCUGACAGCCGCUGAGCCGCUUCAAGGAGGAAGAAAAGGAGGACUGGCAACAGUGUCCAACACUUGGCUGGCCCAGGCAGCCAGCAGGGCAAAGGGAAAGGUGACCUGUUGGGCAUCAGCCCUGACCACUGGACCGGGACCAUCGGGAGCCCACAGGAAGGCAAGAGUGGGGCAGCGGAGAGCCAGCCCCAGGUCCCACCAGGGUGGGGCAGGGCCCAUCAGGGGAGUCGGUGUCACCCCCCCACCCUUGCAGCCACCAUCAAAUAGGACCUCUGUGAGGCAGCUGCAGGGUUGCUGCCAACUACAAAUGUGCCUGCCAAAGGAGCAGAGGGAAGGGAAAGGCCAGUGGGGCGCGGGCAUUCCUGAGGCAUCCCCCAUCCCAGGAACAGAUGAAAAAUCGAGGCUGGAGGGGGAGAUGACUUGUUUGAGGGUGCUUUUGCCCAGGGACUCCAGCGGAAUGUGGCAGGCCCGUUUGUGAGAGCCAUUUGGGGUAAGGACAUGAUGGUGGGGGGCCCAGGAAUAGGGCUCCAGGACACCGGCCCUGUGUUGUGGCUGUCUGGGCACUGGAGAGCCUGGCGGCAGCCCUCGCAGUCCUUCUGCCCCAGCAGCUCAGAACUAGAGUCGCGCAGCCCCUCCAGUUUCCUUCUCCAGAACAAUCCUUUUUCCCACUGAAAGCCUGUAACACACGAGGCCUGGUGUGAGCCUGUCCAGCGCCGCCCCCCAGCCUUCCAGGGCAGAAGCUCAGAGUGCCUUGCCUCCAACAGGGACCUUGGAAGGGCCCCCACCCACGAGAGCCUCCACAAUAGGACCCCAGCUGCAGGAGCAAGGACAGCUGCCUCAGGAAGACUCUCCAAGGGGCAGGAGCCUCUGUGAGGUGGGGGCUGCAGCUGCCAGGGACACAUCAGUCAUCAAGGUACUCCCGCAAAGCAGCGUCGGCCCUGGGGCCUUCAUCGCGUUGGUUUCCCUGGCUCCUGGGGCCCACGCUGUCCACACUCUUCCUCUUCUCACUCCUUCCCCUCCUUGAAGACCAAGGGCUGGGGUGGCAGAGAGACCCGGGACUCUCAUUUGCUUUGUGACUGGGCAAGUCAUUUAACCCCUAGGAACCUCACUGUCCCCCUCUGCAGAGAGGGGAGAAACGGGGCUGUUGUGGGAUUCUGUGAGACCUUCUGUAGUGCCUGCUACAUGGCGGGAGCUUAAUCAGUCAGGUCCCUUCUGGUCUCCUUCCAAACUUGGCUGCAAAGGCCCAACUCUGGUUCCCGCCCGUGCGUUUCGGGCUCUGGCCUCCUCCUGAGCACUGACUGUCCUACACUUCGGUGUCUGGCUGCCUACAAAGAGGUGAGGAGGGUCAGGCUGGUGGCAUUGGUGCUGGGUGCAGAAUCAUGCUUGGUCCCCCCUCACUUCCACGGCCUGGGGAGACAUCACCCAACCUCUCGACACUAGCUUCCUCCUCCGGAAAGCAGCCGCCCCUCGCGGAUGCCAGCGAAUUGGAGUUCUCACGGCCAGACGUGAGGCCGCCAGAUGGGGGGGUCAGGAGGUGCAGUCUGGGGAGAACACCUGGACGCUGAAUUGGGAAACAGAUCAGGAUGGAGAACUCCCGAGACCGUGCGAAAGGAGGCUGCGUGCAGACCCCAGGCAAGACGUGGCCUGGGCAGCGGGAGGGGUCAAGCUUCUCAGCCGUCAGGCUGGGCCAGAGUCAGUGAGGCUCGUACCCUUGUCCUGCUGCCCUGGCCUCAGUCACCCCCCAUGCCAACCCUCUCCUGAACUGCCCUCCCACUCUCUCUUCCAAGAAGUCAGGAAGCACAGGGAUCAGCUACAGUAGCCAGAACCCCAGACCUCUCCCCAGCUCCUUCCUGGCUCUCCUAGCUGCCCCCACCCCUCAGGCACCAACCUCGGCCAAGGCUGGGAUACAGAGUGUAGGGUCCCAGGCCCCGUCCAUGCCACCCACAACACCCAGAGUUGACUGCCCGCCCUGAACGCAGCAGGGAGGGUGCAGGGCACGCCUCCCACAGCCCAGAGUGGGUUCAGAGAUACACACAAACCAAACUCUCUCUCCACUUCAUUCUUGUAUAUAUACACACACACACAAGCAAGCCCCGCCCACACUCAUGAGGCCCACAGAAGGGCCUUCGUCUUUCCUCUUUGGCACCAAUCUGUCAAAACCAGCUUUUCUGCAGGAGACUGCUCCCUCCUUUCUGUACAACAUGAAUUAAAUAUAUUAUCCGUC